rnacentral:rRNA from 1 species
UACGGAAGGCAGCAGGGGGGAAUAUUGCACAAUGGGCGCAAGCCUGAUGCAGCCAUGCCGCGUGUAUGAAGAAGGCCUUCGGGUUGUAAAGUACUUUCAGUCGUGAGGAAGGUGUUAAGGUUAAUAACCUUAGCAAUUGACGUUAGCGACAGAAGAAGCACCGGCUAACUCCGUGCCAGCAGCCGCGGUAAUACGGAGGGUGCGAGCGUUAAUCGGAAUUACUGGGCGUAAAGGGCACGCAGGCGGUUAAUUAAGUUGGAUGUGAAAUCCCCGGGCUUAACCUGGGAAUGGCAUUCAAGACUGGUUAGCUAGAGUCUUGUAGAGGGGGUAGAAUUCCAUGUGUAGCGGUGAAAUGCGUAGAGAUGUGGAGGAAUACCGGUGGCGAAGGCGGCCCCUGGACAAAGACUGACGCUCAUGUGCGAAAGCGUGGGGAGCAAAGCGAGGUAUUAGACUACC